AACGAACGCUGGCGGCAUGCCUAACACAUGCCAGUCGAACGAGACCUCCGGGUCUAGUGGCGCAUGGGUGCGUCACGCGUGGGAACCUGCCCUUAGGCUUCGAAUUCUACUCCGUCGGGGGUGCUAAUACCGGGUAAUGUCCUCGGAUACCACAUUGAUCGCACUUGGUGGGGCACGCGUUGGUUUAGCUUGUGGGUAGGGUAAAAGCCUAUCACGGCGACGUUCGAUAGCUGGGCUGAGAGAAAGCUCAGCCACACUGGGACGAGGACCCGGCGCAGAAUCCUACGGGAGGCAGCAGUGGGUAAUAUUGGACAAUGGGCGAAAGCCUGAUCCAGCAAUGCCGCUAGAGUGAUGAAGUCCGGAGGGUAGUAAAGCUCUUUUACCCGGGAUGAUAAUGACAGUACCGGGAGAAUAAGCUCCGGCUAACUCCGUG
rnacentral:rRNA from 1 species